UUGCUUCUCAUAAAAGCCUUUAUAGCCAUCAUAUUUACACAGGAACUGGCCAUUUAAGUCACGAUGACAGUUUGCGAGCCAAUAUGUAUUCACGGUUCACAACAAGCUAUACUUAUUUCAGCCAAGCUCUGUAGGUGCAGCGAUACUAAUUGAAUGAAGAUCUUUUAGCUGAACCAGACAUUCCAGCAUCUCUCCUUCCAUCAUAGAAUGGAUGAUGCAAUCUUCACUAUAAGGAUCAAAGGCAGUUUAUUUUCCAACAUCCUGACCACUGCGGACCCAGGAUGUAAAGAACAGUAGGAACGAGGUUCCCUUGCUGAACAAGACAGACCUGCUCUGAAAUUGUUUUGAAGACUCUUGAUACUUAUUCCAAUUGCUUUCUUUCAUUUUUAACAAGCUUUUACUCAUUUUUUAUCUCAUCCGACCACAAUCAUCGUUAGGAAAAGCCCAGAGAAACGCAUGAAAACAUUUUUUAAUACUGCACUGCGUUUGUCCUCUGCUGCUUUCAUGUGAUUGAUGCUUUUAUGUGAUGCAUACCCGCUGCUCACCCCCAUCGAUGCACAGAUGGAAACACAAAGAACAUUAUGUGACAGUAAUCACUAAAGCCAAAAGGUGCUCAGUGAGGCAGAGGCAGUGUGAGAUGAAUUUUAAAUAUACAGGUGCAUGUGAAAUUAUAUUACUGCAUAAGUUUUUUUUUUUAAAAAAACAUAAUUUGUCUAGUAAUGUGACAAGCAUUUUAAG